AACGAACGCUGGCGGCAUGCCUAACACAUGCAAGUCGAACGAGACCUUCGGAUCUAGUGGCGCACGGGUGCGUAACGCGUGGGAACCUGCCCUUAGGUUCGGAAUAACUCCCCGAAAGGGGUGCUAAUACCGGAUAAUGUCUUCGGACCAAAGAUUUAUCGCCUUUGGAUGGGCCCGCGUUGGAUUAGCUAGUUGGUAGGGUAAAAGCCUACCAAGGCGACGAUCCAUAGCUGGUCUGAGAGGAUGAUCAGCUACACUGGGACUGAGACACGGCCCAGACUCCUACGGGAGGCAGCAGUGGGGAAUAUUGGACAAUGGGCGAAAGCCUGAUCCAGCAAUGCCGCGUGAGUGAUGAAGGCCUUAGGGUUGUAAAGCUCUUUUACCCGGGAUGAUAAUGACAGUACCGGGAGAAUAAGCUCCGGCUAACUCCGUG
rnacentral:rRNA from 1 species